rnacentral:lncRNA from 1 species
GAAUUACAACUACUUAUGCAAUCUGAAUUUUGUCAAUUCAUGUCAUUUAUCUUAAAUCCUUACUUAUGGAAAUUGUUUCUUUCCCCUGAAGAAUGCUGGUAGAAAGUUUUUAUGAAACAGCUAAAUUUACUAAGAGAGAGGGGCAAGGUGUUAGUCUCCUGUUACACUGAUUUCACAAUAAAUAAAAAAGAAAAAUAUCACAGUUCUGCGAAGUAGCCAGGUUAACUUAAAAGGACAUGUUUCUUUAACGUACACGACGUUGUUUUUCAGAGGUUCCACUGGAGUGGGAAGAAUUCCAUGAAAGAUCAUUUUAAAACUUAUUUUGAGUUAAACCUUGAUCCUUUUUUUUUUUCAAUAUACUAGACUUUGACACACUGCCUCUUGAGACUAGCAGAAUCUACUAUUCCAUAUACAUAAUAGAGCAUACUUUUUCUAUAAUCAGGUACCUUUUGCUGCUUUGGGAUAAGACUGUUUUCCUGUUUAGAUUUUAAGCAUUGCCAGAGAGAAGAAGCUGUUCUGUUCUUUUGAUUGUGGCACAGCCUGAUAGCUCUAGCUGCAGCCCCUCUGAUGAGGAAUGAGUGCCUACCAGGACAUCUGGGCAACUAGCUAUGUUUCCUCGGACUCCAGCUUAGUUGGCACUCCAUUGCCUG